rnacentral:rRNA from 1 species
CGGACCUGACUGCUAUCGGAUUGAUACUAAGCCAUGCGAGUCAUUGUAGCAAUACAAGGCAGACGGCUCAGUAACGUGUAGUCAACCUACCCUAUGGACGGGAAUAACCUCGGGAAACUGAGUAUAAUGCCCGAUAGAACAUUAUACCUGGAAUGGUUUAUGUUCCAAAUGAUUUAUCGCCGUAGGAUGGGACUGCGGCCUAUCAGUUUGUUGGUGAGGUAAUGGCCCACCAAGACUAUUACAGGUACGGGCUCUGAGAGGAGUGGCCCGGAGAUGGGUACUGAGACACGGACCCAGGCCCUAUGGGGCGCAGCAGGCGAGAAAACUUUGCAAUGUGCGAAAGCACGACAAGGUUAAUCCGAGUGGUUUCUGCUAAAGGAACCUUUUGUCAGUCCUAGAAACACUGAUGAAUAAGGGGUGGGCAAGUUCUGGUGU